GUGGGGAAUAUUGCACAAUGGGGGAAACCCUGAUGCAGCGACGCCGCGUGAGUGAAGAAGUAUUUCGGUACGUAAAGCUCUAUCAGCAAGGAAGAAAAUGACGGUACUUGACUAAGAAGCCCCGGCUAACUACGUGCCAGCAGCCGCGGUAAUACGUAGGGGGCAAGCGUUAUCCGGAUUUACUGGGUGUAAAGGGAGCGUAGACGGUAUGGUAAGUCAGAUGUGAAAGCGCGGGGCUCAACCCCGGGACUGGAAUAGAAACUAUCAGACUAGAGUGAGGGAGAGGUAAGUGGAAUUCCUAGUGUAGCGGUGAAAUGCGUAGAUAUUAGGAGGAACACCAGUGGCGAAGGCGGCUUACUGGACUGUAACUGACGCUGAGGCGCGAAAGUGUGGGGAGCAAACAGGAUUAGAAACCCCAGUAGUCC
rnacentral:rRNA from 1 species